rnacentral:rRNA from 1 species
UACACGCUGUGACUAGCAUAUCAAUAAGCGGAGGAAAAGAAACUAACAAGGAUUCCCCUAGUAACGGCGAGUGAAGCGGGAAGAGCUCAAAUUUGAAAUCUUAAAGGGUUUCCCUUUACGAAUUGUAGUUUAAAGAAGUGUUUUCCGUUGAGGUUUUGGUAAAAGUUCUUUGGAAUAGGACAUCAUAGAGGGUGAGAAUCCCGUAUUUGACCUUUACUUUCAACUUUGUGAUACACUUUCAAAGAGUCGGAUUGUUUGGGAAUGCAGUCCAAAAUGGGUGGUAAAUUUCAUCUAAAGCUAAAUAUUGGCGAGAGACCGAUAGCGAACAAGUACCGUGAGGGAAAGAUGAAAAGAACUUUGAAAAGAGAGUUAAACAGUACGUGAAAUUGUCAAAAGGGAAGCGUUUGACACCAGUGUUGUUUUUCUGAAAAUCAAUUAAAGAACUGUUUAUGCUAAGCUGUUUAGACUUUAUCAGCUAAUCUGUUUAGUUUUGAGCUUUUCUUUAAUGCACUUUUCAGUUAACAAGUCAACAUCAAUUUCUUUUGCUGUAAAAAAGCUUGAGGAAGGUGGCUUGAGAUUCGUCUUAAGUGCUUAUAGCCUCUUGCCUAUGCAGUCGGAGAGAUUGAGGUCUGCAGCGUAGAUCCUUCGGGGCUAAAUGCAUUUGUGCUAAGUUAUAGCAUUUUAUAGACAACUUGUUGACUAUGAUUUGUCUUGUAGCUUACUCGCUUAUGUUAUUUUACCUACGCUUAGGAUGUUGAAGAUGUAGCACAUCAU